AGAUGCAAGGGACCACAUCCACUUCUGGAACACAUUUCCCAGUAUGUAUGUGUCCAGACUGCUGAGAUUACUCUCAGUGACACCAUGAAAACUGUUGUGAGUAGAAGUAGAAGAGGACAAAAUCAGAAGAGACGUGAAGGAGGGAGCCUCGCUAGAGGAAGGAAAUGAGAGGCUGUGAGUUCAUUCCAGCUUAAAGAUGAUAAAGUUUGAUUGAGGAAGACCUCCUGAAAACCCUGACUACAGACAAAAAGAAAUAAACCUUAAAACAACUACAAAAACAUAA